UUUAUUUUUUGUUUUUAUUUAUUUUUCUGCAUACAUAGUAGGUGUAUAUAUUUUGGGAGUACAUAAAAUGUUUUGAUAAAGGCAUGAAAUGUGAAAUAAGCACAUCAUGGAGAAGGGGAUAUCCAUCCCCUCAAGCAUUUAUCCUUUGAGUUACAAAUAAUCCAAUUACACUCUAAGUUAUUUCAAAAUGUACAAUUAAGUUUUUAUUGACUAUAGUCACCCUAUUGGGUUAUCUAUAUUGUCCAUCCAUGCAUCCAUCCAUCCAUCUGUCCAUCCAUCUAUUCAUCCAUCCAUCUGUCCAUCCAUCUAUUCAUCCAUCCUGCCAUCCAUCCAUCCAUCCAUCCAUCCAUCCAUCCAUCCAUCCAUCCAUUUAUCGACUCCUUUAAAAGAUAUUCACAAGGCAUCCAUUAUGUACCAGGUGGUAGGUAUCCUGUGCAUUGGGAAUGCAGCAGUAAACAAAUAGACCUUGUUCCUGCCUGCAAGAACUUAAAAUCUGCUUGAAGAACUAAAGAACUAGACCCCAAAUGAGUAAACUCUGAAAAAUUUACAAUAAUAGUGGAAAGUAUUAACAUAAAGUAAAAUUGCAUGGAUAUAAUCGAUAAUAUUAUAGACAGUUUUUUCCUUCAUAGAGACAAUGGUCUAGCGAGAAUACGUAAAUUUAAAAAGCAGUUAUAAUACCUUGUCAUAAAUGCUAUGAUAGGAGAUGGAUAAAACACUCUCGGCAGAGGAUAGCAGAAACUUCCCUAAGCUGUAGAAAAGUUGGAGAUCAGGCAGGAAAUCUUCUCACAAUGAUAUUUAACCAUAACCAGUUGGAGAAGAGUUAGAGAAAUACUCUAGGUACAGGAAAAUAUGUGUGCAAAGGCUGCAAGGCCAGAGGACCUGGUGCAUUUAAGGAACUAAACAAAGUUUGAUACAAACAGAAUUUAAAAAUAACUGAAGAAAUAGAUGAAGCUGUGGAAAGGAUAUGAAGAUCCUGGUGAGAAAGUAGUUGAACUGAGAAUCCAUAGACUUUCCAUAGAAUUUGAGUUGAAUACAUAUCACCCAGUGGGCUGAAACCAGGUAAAAUUUUAUUACAUGCUCAAAUGAAGACAAAGGGCAAGUAUAGUAAGAGCAGUUGAGUGAGAGAAUGCAAGAAUAAGAUGUUUUAGUCAGAGAAUGAAAUGACAGAAUUUAUAUCAGAGGUUGAUAAGUUAUGGGUGAAAAAAAAUCAGAGUGAGGCAAUAGGCGUGGGGGAUUAAGAUGGAGGGGAAGGACCACAGAUUACUGAGGAUGAAGAGAUAGACCAAGGGGCAUAUGAACAAUGAAGUAAUCUAGGACUAUGAUUAAACUAGGGACUCUUAGCUGGCGACAAGCUUUCAAUGAACAGGGGAAAGUUAUUAAAAGCUCAUGGGUAACUGAUUCAAAUUGUGCUGUCCAAUACUGCAACUGCCCACCAUAUGUGGCUACUGAGCACUUAAAAUGUUUUAAGUACACCAUGGUAAAUACAAUGUUAUUUUUUAAAUGAAUUUUGGCUUUCUUUUUACUUGUUUAAUGUGGCUACCAGAAAAUUUAAAAUUAGAUGCGCAGUUUGCAUGUCGGUUCAGAUUAUAUUUCUAAUGGACAGUGCUUGAUAAUAGAAAGAAACAGAGAGUGUUUUAGCUCAAUAAAAUGAUGCAUGAGGAGCCAGAAAUAUUUUAUAUAUUAUAUAGCAAUAAUUGUUGAUGGAAUUAUCUAAAUAUUUUGUUUUCAUGUGCUUUUAUUACAUCAUAAAGGUGUGUAGAAAAUAAAGCUGCCAAUACUAGUGUUAAUACAAUCGUGGCUAAAUCGACGUAAUUAUCUACACCAAAAUAUAUUUGUCCCUUAACUUGAAUUGGAUUACCACUGACCAAUACAUCAUACUUGAACAAAGAGAUGAUUUCUUGCUACUAAAUAAACAAGUUCAUAGGCAGUUCCUGGAAGACCCCAAAAUUUUCUGUUGCUCUGAUCCUCAUUGCUUUGCCCUUGGUAUUGACGAGUAAGCCGAUUGGCUUUUCUUUAUUUGGGUGAUAAGAUCUGUGUCAAUAAUUGAGUUUAUGGAGAGUAGACCAAUCCAGCUGAGUAAUUUGGAUAAGAAAGUUCUUCUUGCAGUUUAAUUUUCUAAAAUUUUACACUGGGGGAAGGUAGAGCAAUGUAGUCAGAGCCUAUAAGACAAUUGUAUUUUUCCUUUUAUUUUUACUCUAAAAGUCUUCUCAUUCCAUCAUUUCCAAGAUGAAGUAAAAGAACAAAAGAGCAAAGAUGAGAAGCUAGAAACAGAUCAUUUAAAACAGUGUAUAGACACAAAGAGUGAUAUUGUUGGAAGUUAAAACAUCUAUUGUUUGAAGAAUCAAAGUAACUAAAUAAAACUCAGCCAUCCAAAUGCAAUGAAGUUCAUAAAUCCAUAGAGCUUUGAUAGUCUGCCAUAACUUCACUAAAUGAAAGUCUCUGGGAUUGGGGUCAGUGAAUCUGCAUUUUCAACAAACACCUCAGGUGAUUCUUAGGCACACUAACAUAUGAGAACCGCUUAGUCUAAAUUGUCCAUUCUACUAAUAAAAAACUUAAGAUACAGAAAAUUUCAGUGACUUACUUAAGGUUACACAAUAAGCAAGUAGCAGAACCGUGGCUCAUACCCAGGUCUUCUAUUUCCUACGUUAGGGAUAUGCUGAAUAACACCACGCUGCCUUGCUCACAUUAUUUUGGUUACUGAUCUCUAUUAAUGGAGUCCAUAUCUCCUAUAAUAUUUUUGAUGGUCUUUUUGAGCUGCUUCUUCAUGUUGACCACAGCGCAGGAAAGUAGCUGUGGCCAGACCGCUUUUCCAGAUUGCUCUUCACUGUGCAGGGCACCUCUGCAGGA
rnacentral:lncRNA from 1 species